rnacentral:lncRNA from 1 species
CGCCGUCGUCUAGGGACCGCUUAUACGGUGGUGAUGUUGAAGCCGUACUCGCUGCCGAUCGCCUUCAUGGGCUGCGGCGCCUUGCACGCCUGGUUGAAGGUCAUGGGCAGCGUGCUGUUGUCGUUGCACACCUUGGCGGUGGGGUAGGUCUGCGCCUGGCCCAGCGUGGUGAUGGAGGUCGAGGCCAUGAGCGUGAUGGCGGCAGAGAGGUAGCUGUUGGUCGUCUGGGGGUUCAGCGAGCCGUAGCUCUUGUACGUGAGGAACUUGGUGCCGUUGGAGAUGUAGGCGUUGAUGGACUUGUUCAUCGCCUGCCACUUGGUCUGGUUCAGGUUGGGCAGGGUGGUGUUCUGGUAGGCAAAGGUCUUGUAGGCGUUCAGGGUGGACAGCACGUCCUUGGCAAUGGACUGGCCCUGCUGGAUGGUGUAGCGCUCGUAUAGGUAGAGCUGCUUGUUGCAGCUGAUCGAGGGCGCGAACACGCCCAUGGCAAAGAUGGCGGCGGUGGUCAGGGCCACAACGACGACUGCGGGCGGCGCAAGGAAGCAGGGGCGAAGGGGCGAGUCAGCGCAAUGAUAAUUGGAAGACGUAGAUUGCGGCAUGCACACACGACGGAGCUCAUGCGCGAGUGCCUGGCCCGAUCUCAAGAGCAACUCCCGCCACGAGCCUCUUCGUGCCACCCUUCGUUUCAGAUCCCUGCCAUUCUCCAAAGCCCGACAAAAGACCCGCGCGACCGCAUCCCCACGCCACCGGCCCUCCGACUCUUAUCCCGGCAGCUGCCCGGCACGCGCGCAGCCCCGAUACCCCCGACAGCGGCUCACCGGUGGCAAUCCACGAGGCGAAGGUGCGCAGCAGGAACAUCCAGUUCACGCCGGUCUUGCCCUCGAUCAUGCCCAGGCCCACAAUGCCACCAGUGAUGCACUGAGAGGACGAGGUGGGAAGGCCGUACUGCGCAGCAACCAUGAUCACCAGCGCCGUCGAAAGCUCGGCGGAAAAGCCACGAGUGGGCGACAGCUUGGCCAUGCGGGUGCCGACGGCGCGGGUGACGUUGUAGCCGUAGGUGGCCAGUCCGAUCACCAGGCCCAGGGCGGAGAUGAUGAUAAUCCAGAUGGGCGCCUGCACCUUGCUGUAGAGCGUGCCGUCCUUGACGGUGAACCAGAUGGUGGCCAGGGGGCCGGCCAUGUAGCCCACCUCGCCGGCGCCGUGAGCGAAGAUGACGCAGAUGGCGGAGAAGACCUGCAGGUAGCUGAACGCGUACUCGGCCUUGGGGUCAAACACCUCGGCGUUCUUGUGGAUGGCGGCCACAAUGGGGUCUGCGAGGAGCAAAGGGAAGGGGGGCGCAUGUGAAAGAACGACGGCUUGCAAUAUCAGUGUCUUUGAUGCUGCCUGCCCGCCUGCAACUAUUAACCUUGCCGGCCAUCCCAAAGGGAUUCCGAGCGCAGCGGUUUGCUCCGCACCACCUCGCCGCGCCCCGCCCCGUGCCCUACUACGCAACCCCGCGGCGAACUCACCCUCCUCAACCACCUCGUGAAUAUCCACCUCCAUGCCGUGCAUGGCGGCGCGCUUCAGAGACGUCAUGGCCUUCAGGAACUUGGAGUUGUUCUCGGAAGCGGCCUCUUCCUCGGCCUUGGUCUUGGCCUUAGCAGCCUCCUCGUCGGCGCCGCCGGCAGCCUUCUCCUCAUCCAGGCGGAACUUCUUGUCGGCCUUCCACUUGAGCAGGGGCAGGACAAUGACGAUGGUCAGGAAGGCCAGGCCGGCGGCGCAGCAGGCAGCGACCCAGGCGGCCUUGUGGUCAGUCCAGUCGCUGUUGGAAGCCAGGGUCUUCUUGGCACCCUUGGUGAACACGAAGUAAAUGCUGCGCGCGAAGGGGAACAGACAGCCAAGCGGUUUCGCGUGAGGAAUGCACGUUGGCCUCUAGGUGACAAGGAUAGUCGGAACGCCACAAUGACGUGAACGUCGCAGCCACUGCCACCGCAGGCACGCCACGCCCACGAGUACAUACGUCAGCCCGGGCAUGCAGGGCUGCAUUCCGCGUUCCUACAUGCAUGGAUUUGAGCCUCUACGCCUCGCAAGCCCCCGGUUACUCACUUGAUCCACGAGGUGAGCAGGACCAUCACAGGCAGAACCCAGAAGGACAGGACGUAGGAGUUCUCGCGGCGAAGCACCAGGGUGCGGACAAUCAGGAAGAUGGUGCACGAGGCCAGGCCGGUCAGCACGGGCGACACGAACCAGGCCAGCACGAUGGGCACAACGCCCUUGUAGGGAGGGAAUGAGGCGGGGUCCGGGGUGGCCCAGUUCACAGCGUUGGCGCCGCCGAACACAAACGAGAACCCGAUAAUGGCACUGCAAGGGCGGAGGAAAGGAGGCGGAGGGGUUAGUCACGCGUAAUGUGCUUGGGAGCCAGACAUACUGUGAUACUGCCCGCCUGCCCCAUGAAGCGUAGGGGAGGGGCACAUGAGGGCUACGCUUGGACUUGCUACAGGUGGUGCUACUCGUCUCGUGUAAACGAAGGAGCAUGUGUGCAGGGCACUUGAGCUGCUGCACUGCACACAGCUUGAGCUGCGGACAUGACGAAGGUAGGCAAGGACGGAGUGCGCGAAGGCUCACCCAAUGAUCGAGUGGGUCGCGGACACGUUGAGCUCCCAGUAGGAGGCCAGUGCUUGCCACACGAAGCCCACGGUCAGGGCAAUGACCAUGCCGUACGAGUAAACCUGUGUUCAUGCAGUGGGGAGCAGGAAGGGCGGUGGGUAAGGUUGAACGGCGGGAAGGACACAUUGGACCGUAAGUGAAACGGGUCCCAGCCCUCAGCUUCUCAGGGUCUGGCACGCCCAACCCAGAAUGUGUCAGUCGGGUGGGACCUCUAACUCUACGUGCAGGGCGCACCUCGGGCUCUGCAAGGAACACGUUGAUGUUGGCAAUACCACCGGCGAUGGUCGAGGUUGACACACGCCCAAGCACAAGCGCGCCGACGAACUCGAAGAUAAUGGCGAUGACGACUGCUUGCUUCAGUGUGAGGGUCUUGGCACCCACACUGGUACCGAACGCGUUGGCCACAUCGUUAGAGCCUGCGAGGAUGACGGAAGCGAAAACCCAAGGUGACAAGACGCAGCGACGCAGAAACGUGUCGAUGUAACUUUCCUCCCGGCCACGGUUCGCGCAAAGCAUUGGAAGCUCCAUAACGACACAUACGACGAAUCACUUGAGAAAAACGAAACAGGACAUCCGAUUCACAGCAUUGAGGAAGCGGUAUCCUGAGGCCGUGGGUGCUUCGCGCUUACCGGUGCCCCAGCCGAAAGCGAAGGCGGCCAUGGAGCCGACCACCACCAGCCAGAGGUACUGCGAGCCGCAAGGAGCGAUUGAUGGUCAGACAACGGGCCGAAGAAGAACAUGGAUGUCGGGCGCUCGCGCCGAGCUCGACAGAGGAAGCCCAAAGCUUGCGCUCACCUCUGGCAUCGCGUAGUCUGCCAUGUCUGCUGACUUGCCACUCCCGAGAGCGUCUCAGGGCCGGUAAGAGUGGAAGAUUGCGAAAAUGGACGCGCUUUCUGUCUUGUUAGGUUGAGCGAGAACCUCGUCGAGGCCUACACAGAUUAAGUAGGUUGAAUGUAUGACAGUCCACAGCUGCCGCCGCUAUAAAUCGAUAAUCGGAGUUGGCGUGACAGAUGCAUAUUCGCAUCUUGCGUCCACACUUAAUCAUCCUCUUCCGUGGAAUCCCGGCCACCCUUUUUGCACCCUGGCAGCAAAAUGGCCCGAAAGCUUUGGCAGAAGGUUAGUAAUAGUUGAGAGCGCGUUUCAGAGCUAUUCAGGGCACAUCCGUUCUGUCCCCUGAGAACCAGUUAGGACUGCCGGCAUGCGCAGUUCACUGCCCGGGUUCUUUCGCCCCAAAAAGUAUAAUUUCAAAUAUAGGUUUGCAAUGUACUUACAUGUAGGCGAAGUCAUCAAGUCGCGGCGCCCUUGUCCACCCCGGCGAAAGUUGCUACCAUGUUGCCAUCGGUGUGUAGUUAUGACGAUAAUACGGUACAUUAAUGUAAUGCCAUUUCGGGCUUCCGGGACAGUCGGCUAGGCAGGGCUCGCCGACCGUGCCAACCGUGGCCCCUCCCCCCCCGCAGUGCGCGCCCGACACCCCCCUGCGCGGUACUGCCUCAGGCCCGCUGCCCCACGUUCUCAUCAGCGCAUUAUAGUGUAAGCCCUGCAGUCGCCUACCCGGGGACCCAUAGCCUACCUCUACGCAAUGCCAGGAGUCUCACACAUUGGUAUGAAUUCCCCUGACUCGUGGAGACCCAUAUGACCGCACACUCGAAUCCUGGGUUACACGGAGAAAGCUAUCAACACCCUAGGACAAGGCCCUGCACAAAUCCCCGCCCACUUCCUCGCAGGUGUUGCUCAGUCUCACAACACGUUUCCGUGCCUUCAUCAACCAGUUUCCAUUCUAGCCAGGGCGCAUCCCUGAUCGUAGCACUGUUCAGCCGUCUCGUGCGGCGUGGACGCCCGUACAUUUCGGCAACGCUGCAUGCCAUUUACCCUCGGGGCAUGCCUACUGAUCGUCACAGUAGUGACACAGUUCGCAAAAGUGUUACGCAGUGCAGCGCCCAACCAGCCGUGCAUUUGCACGCACACCGUCGCUGCGAAUUCGCGACGGGAGUCCCGAAGCAGCUGCACUUCGCAUCCGUGCCUAUUGCCCUGCCCGUCACAACAACAAGUCAAACAAGUCAACCCGCUCAUCCUCAGUUCCUCACUGCGCCAAACAAGAUGAUGAGCGCCAUACAUCCAGCUGUUGAGUCACGCCUUCUGCACUAAUACGCUUGCGCGUCGCACAUGAAUGUGGCAGCGACGGCGGCCAAUCAAACAAAACAGAGACCAUAGAGUGCAUAGUUGUUUGCACUUCACGUAUACAAGAACACGUCCGGCAGUAAAGCCCAGUUAUGGCGACGCCAGCCGUGGCUACGUGAACCCAGGUGUUACCACAUCCCAUUGAACAUGCUCAGCUGCUAAUGACCAGCUUGUGCUUGGAAGUCAGCAACGCUUUCCCUACCUAGCUAGCACAACCCGUCGUCUAGGGACCGCUUAUACGGUGGUGAUGUUGAAGCCGUAGGUGCUGCCGAUCGCCUUCAUGGGCUGCGGCGCCUUGCACGCCUGGUUGAAGGUCAUGGGCAGCGUGCUGUUGUCGUUGCACACCUUGGCGGUGGGGUAGGUCUGCGCCUGGCCCAGCGUGGUGAUGGAGGUCGAGGCCAUGAGCGUGAUGGCGGCAGAGAGGUAGCUGUUGGUCGUCUGGGGGUUCAGCGAGCCGUAGCUCUUGUACGUGAGGAACUUGGUGCCGUUGGAGAUGUAGGCGUUGAUGGACUUGUUCAUCGCCUGCCACUUGGUCUGGUUCAGGUUGGGCAGGGUGGUGUUCUGGUAGGCAAAGGUCUUGUAGGCGUUCAGGGUGGACAGCACGUCCUUGGCAAUGGACUGGCCCUGCUCGAUGGUAUAGCGCUCGUACAGGUAGAGCUGCUUGUUGCAGCUGAUCGAGGGCGCGAACACGCCCAUGGCAAAGAUGGCGGCGGUAGUCAGGGCCACAACGACGACUGCGGGAGGCGCAAGCACAGAGGCGUGGGUGUCAGCAUACUAGCACGCGAAUUGAGGUGGCACGAACCCUGUGUUUUUCCGCGUCUGCCCAUAGCGCGCGCCUGUCCCUGUCAUUAUCCGCCGCCCAGCUCCCGAACCCACCAGCCGCAACCAACAUGGCCCUUUCGUGCCACCCCCCUAACACAUCCCCAGGCGUUUGCGCUUACUACGCCUGCGAGCAGCUCACCGGUAGCAACCCACGAGGCGAAGGUGCGCAGCAGGAACAUCCAGUUCACGCCGGUCUUGCCCUCGAUCAUGCCCAGGCCCACAAUGCCACCCGUGAUGCACUGAGAAGACGAGGUGGGAAGGCCGUACUGUGCGGCAACCAUAAUGACGAUGGCGGUUGACAGCUCAGCAGCGAAGCCACGAGUGGGCGACAGCUUGGCCAUGCGGGUGCCGACGGCGCGGGUGACGUUGUAGCCGUAGGUGGCCAGGCCGAUCACCAGGCCCAGGGCGGAGAUGAUGAUAAUCCAGAUGGGUGCCUGCACCUUGCUGUAGAGCGUGCCGUCCUUGACGGUGAACCAGAUGGUGGCCAGGGGGCCGGCCAUGUAGCCCACCUCGCCGGCGCCGUGAGCGAAAAUGACGCAGAUGGCGGAGAAGACCUGCAGGUAGCUGAACGCGUACUCGGCCUUGGGGUCAAACACCUCGGCGUUCUUGUGGAUGGCGGCCACAAUGGGGUCUGCGAGGUAGGAGCAAAGGGAGAGAGGGCACAUAUUUUGUAAGUAGACGGCUUGCAAGUCCACUUUCGUGUAUAUAUGCUGCCUGCCCGCCUGCAACUAACUUCGCCGGCCAUUCUGAAGGGCCUCGGUGCGUAGGGGUUUGCUCUUUUGCCACCUUGCCCAUUCCUGCCCUGUGCUCCACCUUGCCCAUUCCUGCCCUGUGCUCUAUAAGCGCACCGCAAUGCCCCGGAAUACAUGCGCUGCCAACACAUGCAACCCCGCAGCGAACUCACCCUCCUCAACCACCUCAUGCACGUCCACCUCCAGGCCGUGCAUGGCGGCGCGCUUCAGCGACGUCAUCGCCUUCAGGAACUUGGAGUUGGUCUCGGAAGCGGCCUCGUCCUCAGCCUUAGCCUUAGCCUUAGCAGCCUCCUCGUCGGCGCCGCCGGCAGCCUUCUCCUCAUCCAUACGGAACUUCUUGUCGGCCUUCCACUUGAGCAGGGGCAGGACCAGGACGAUGGUCAGGAAGGCCAGGCCGGCAGCGCAGCAGGCAGCAAUCCAGGCAGCCUUGGCGUCGGUCCAGUCGUCGCUAGAAGACAGAGUCUUCUUGGCACCCUUGGUGAACACGAAGUAAAUGCUGCGCGAAGGGGAACAGACAGGACGGGGUGGCGGGAGCUCCGUUUAAAAACCCAUUCGCGAGGGCACACACGGACCCUUCAAAGACUCUCAAGGCCCCCGGGUUGGCUCAGCUGUGCCUUAAGCAGCAACGUAGACAAUAAAAAACACCAGAAUGCCGGCAAACCACACAGCAUGCUGAGAAGUAGGGUACGCGCUGUGGUCGGAAUGCCACUCACUUGAUCCAUGUGGUGAUCAUGACCAUCACAGGCAGAACCCAGAAGGACAGGACGUAGGAGUUCUCGCGGCGAAGCACCAGGGUGCGGACAAUCAGGAAGAGAAUGCACGAGCACAGGCCGGUCAGCACGGGCGACACGAACCAGGCCAGCACGAUGGGCACAACGCCCUUGUAGGGAGGGAAUGAGGCCGAGUCCGGGGUGGCCCAGUUAACAGCGUUGGCGCCGCCGAACACGAACGAGAAGCCGAUGAUGGCACUGCAAGGGAAGGAGGCGGAGGGGCGGACAUGUUGGUUGAAGAGCACGUAAUGCCUGUCGCACCAGACAGCUAGGUCCAACACAUCAGCCCACAAUGUUCCCCGGGAGGUCGAGGGGCGCGAUGACGGUCGAGGGGCGCAAUGAAGGUAGGCAAGGACGCGAAGGCUCACCCAAUGAUCGAGUGGGUCGCGGACACGUUGAGCUCCCAGUAGGAGGCCAGUGCUUGCCACACGAAGCCCACGGUCAAGGCAAUGAUCAUGCCGUACGAGUAAACCUGUGUUCAUGCAGUGGGGAGCAGGAAGGGCGGUGGGUAAGGUUGAACGGCGGGAAGGACACAUUGGAAGGUACCGUAAGUGAAACGGGUCCCAGCCCGCAGCUCUCAGGGUUCGACACGCCGGAACACACGCCUGUAUUAGUCAAGCGUGACUAUGCUACCCUACGUGAGGUGCGCACCUCGGGCUCUGCAAGGAACACGUUGAUGUUGGCAAUACCACCGGCGAUGGUCGAGGUUGACACACGUCCGAGCACAAGCGCGCCGACGAACUCGAAGAUGAUGGCGAUGAUAACUGCUUGCUUCAGUGUGAGGGUCUUGGCACCAACACUGGUACCGAACGCGUUGGCCACAUCGUUGGAGCCUGCGAGGAUGACGGAAGCAAAAACCCAAGGUGAUAAGACGAAGAAACAAUGCAUGGCCGAAGUGCAUGUCGGUAAUAGGUGCGCUGAACACCCCAGCCACUGGCCGCAUGCAAAGCAUCUGGAGCUCCUCAAACGGCAUGCGCAACUACAACUACGCCGGAGAAAGUAUUAUGCUUGCUCGACGUGGUGCGUGGCGCUUUGCGAGCGGUCACCCGAGGCCAAGCGAGGCCUGCGCUUACCAGUGCCCCAGCCGAAAGCGAAGGCGGCCAUGGAGCCGACCACCACCAGCCAGAGGUACUGCGAGCAUAACAAUGAAUUGCUUGUAAGCACUGCUGCUCGUUAGCCCGCCGCUCGCAGAGCGAGAUGUGCAGCAGCGCUCGCCACAAUUAUAACAGCGUAUGCGCAGAGGAUGUGCCCACCUCUGGCAUUGCGAAGUCCGCCAUUGCUGUUGACUUUGUUGAAUACGCAGCACGCGCGGGGAAGAGUGGACGCUGAAAAAGUUUGGACGCUGAAAAGUUUGGAAGGUUGGAGCUUGCUGCUGGAAGGCUAUCACAGCCAACUUGAGCACAGGCCGAUAUUAAGUUCUAUGCACCUGAUUAUUGCACCAAGAAUUCGGAGGUUAAAUGGACUUUUCAGCGCCGGCGUGGAUUCGAUCGAAUAUUAUUGACAUUCAUUUGGCAUCUUGACAUCGAUUCCCGAACGGCGCCCCGCAACCUGGCCAUUAAUCAGCAAUGAAGGCGUUUGUUUCUUAAUCCUGCUGCUGUAAAGCGGUGCAAUGCGGGCAUAAAUAAGUCAGCCGCCGCGAAUCCCCGCUGCUUUUACGCUUGCUUAAGAACGUAGCACUGGCGUCAUGUAAUGUUUCGAUGGAAAGCUUUCGGAAGCGGUCAAGCUGUGCUGAACUAUAUCUUGAGUCAGAGUCGCGAAGUCAGACUGGCAGCACGCUGGGCAUCAGGCUGGGCAUUGAGAAAUCCUAUGAAAAUGCGACUCGGUUGCCACUGCAUUUUGAUUGUCAAACUGGGAUCCGUAAAUCACACAUCAAUCAGGCGCUGCCGCCGCUGGUUCAAAAACCCGAGACAGAUCACCCGCGCUGCAGGGCGAAGCGCCAGGUCUGUCAAGAACGCACACGAAGUGUCCCUGUGGCAGUGUGGGCAGCGGGGGGGGGGGCGUGCCGGGAGGGUGACAUUCACGAUAAGGGUCUCACACAUGUGGCCGGGUGGAGGGGGAUGUGGAGGGAGGAUGUGAGGCAAUCAGCACAUCCCGUGCCAUCCGCAGGUGGGUCAGUAUGCAUCAAGCAGCAACCGCCCCGUACGCUCUAUAUAGUACACAUAAUGCAUUGCUGUGUGGCCCAGGAACAUGCAUGGCGUUGUAGUUUGCCAGGAAGGAGGUCAGCAACGGUCGCGGGGGCAUAAGUGUGCCAUUGGACAGUGUCAAGGCAGGUUGGUGAAGUCC